GCUGGCGACCAUAGCAAGAGUGAACCACCUGAUCCCUUCCCGAACUCAGAAGUGAAACCUCUUAGCGCUGAUGGUAGUAUGGGGUUACCCAUGUGAGAGUAAGUCAUCGCCAGCU
rnacentral:rRNA from 1 species